rnacentral:rRNA from 1 species
AUUGAACGCUGGCGGCAGGCCUAACACAUGCAAGUCGAACGAGUGGCGGACGGGUGAGUAAUGUCUGGGAAACUGCCUGAUGGAGGGGGAUAACUACUGGAAACGGUAGCUAAUACCGCAUACCAUCAGAUGUGCCCACAUGGGAUUAGCUAGUGGGUGGGGUAACGGCUCACAAAGGCGACGAACCCUAGCUGGUCGGAGAGGAUGACCAGCCACAGUGGGACUGAGACACGGUCCAGACUCCUACGGAAGGCAGCAUCGGGGAAUAUUGCACAAUGGGCGCAGGCCUGAUGCAGCCAUGCCGCGUGUAUGAAGAAGGCCUUCGGGUGGUAAAGCACUUUCAGCGGGGAGGCGUUACCCGCAGAAGAAGCACCGGCUAACUUCGUGCCAGCAGCCGCGGUAAUAC